GAAUUUGUUCACUUACACAGAGCCAGUUAGUCAUUUGUAAGGAGAGACUGAGAGACAGAUCACUGUUGAACUUGCAGGAAUUACUGUUCCUCCAAACACAAGGACUUGACAAAUCCUCUUAGAGUAGAACUAUUAACCCAAGAAAGAACUUUUGAAGAGGAUGGCAAGCUCCUGUUUUUGGGCACUGGUGUGGCUGAUUGUGCUGCUAAUGAUUGGUUGGCCUUUAAGUAUCUUCUUUGGAGCGCUGUAUGGUCUCUUCGCCCCCCUGACCACCUGCCUCGGCUGUGACCACCUAACAGAUCUCCUGAUGACAGGAGCCAACCUGGGCAGGACGUGUGCGCACAACAUGAGACACGGCACAUCCAUGUGCUGAGGAUGUUGCGUUCCCACUCGGCUUUUACUGUUUUUAAUAAGAAACACUGCUUUCAAAAGAGAUCAACAUUUUUUUAAAGGCUCAGUAAAUUUCUAUUGUACUGUGAUGAAUUAGAACAGGAAUAAGUAUGGAAUUGUAAUUAAUUAUCGCACUUAUCCAGGGUCUGCAGUAUAGAUCAAGCUUUUUGCAAUGUUUCUUGUAUAAACUCAUUCUCUGUGAAAAUCUGAAAUAAAAUGAACAUCUCUAGUGAGUGUUCAAUACAACACAUUUUUGUUGUUCAGCAAAAUGGGUAAAACUUGAACUGUAAAGGAUACUUAAAGUUUAUCUGUGGAGCUCUGUAACAGGGUUUCUCUUUCAGAGAGAGUUCACGUGCUAGCAUUAUUAAACGUUAACAAUCUAAAUAACAA